CCACUCGCUCACACAAGAAACGAGGUACCCAACGUUGCUAGACACCAUCCGAACUCCAAAGUGAGAGUAGCAAAACAACAAGAUAUCAAAACACGAAAGGAAGAGUAUUUAUCCCCCCUCCCUUCUAUAGCAUGCAAAACGUGAUUUGCGCUGAGAUGAACAUAUAUGUUCAUGACGCGAGUAAUUUUCACUUUUCACUGAUCCAAAGGAGGUCACGUGGGAUUGCUUGGCGUUUGCGAAAUUAACAGCAAUGAAAAUGGCGAAACGAAACUUGUGAAUCGUGCAUUUGCUCUUCAUGGUAGCUGCCAGAAAAUCGAAUCAAGCUUAUGGGACACUGGAUUACAGGUUGCUGCCACUACUCCAUGUGCCCGCAAUUGUCUUGCGUGUAUGAUUACACUAACGACGUCGCCCACCACGGCGGAAGUGUUUUGCGUACACGCGUUUCAGCAUGAAGCCUGCAGGUGGACGUAAAUUGUAGAAGGCAGCUAGUGGGGA